AUUUAGAGGGAAGAUGAGAGGGGAGGAUGGGAGGGAGGAGUAACAAAAGUAAAAACAAAAACUAAAAACUGAAAUCUAUUUGAAAUUGUUUUCACUUUUGUUACUCCUCCCUCCCAUCCUUCCCUCCCAUCCUUCCCUCCCAU
rnacentral:miRNA from 1 species